UGAAUGAUGCUGGUUCUGCUACCUUAAAAGGUUCUGACCCUUACAAGCAGUGAAUGUGUGCCUAUGACUCCAUCAAUGUGGCUGCUGUUGGAAGUGCACUAUUUAAGAGCUGUUACUCCAGGUAUGUUGCCAGCUGGAUAGAAACAAGGAGGUACCAAUCCAAAAAGGCUAACUUGACUGUUCUCUGAUAAAUGCAUGCCUUCUUACUUAGAACAACCCAGAACAAGAUAUAAAUCUGUUACUCCUAUUUCUGAGAACAGUAUGGUUCAGAUGUUAAAGUCCUUGUUUAAUCUUUCCCAAGAGAAGGAGAAAAUAAGCUUCUUCACUGGUAAACUUGCUGAAUAUCAGAAUACCUGGGGAUUUCACAUUCAAAGCAUUCCAGUUCUAAAGGAUGCAGAUAGAUAUGUGGUGAGAUUUUUCUAAAACCAUGAAGUAGUCAAUCAGCUAAAUCUCUUCUGGAAUUCAGAAUCCCAGUAUGAUGUUUUUUCAAAG
rnacentral:lncRNA from 1 species